CCCGACACCAUAGCGAUAUGCCCUACACCGACGAUGCAUAGUCAUGAUGCUACGAUAAUCUUACAACUACCUAAUUUCUCUAUAAAUGUAACAUUCAAUUAUGUGUGCUCCAUUAAUAUAGGUGUUUUAGCAGAAAAAUAGAUUCACAGAACACCUAAUUAAUGUAUUUAUGUGUUGUUCAAUAUAAGUUGUCAUAUUAAGAUUAAUGUUGUUUGCUAUAUUUUUAGAUAAUUGAAUUAUUAAAAUUAAUUAUUGAAUAAUUGCUUGCUAUAUUGCUGUG
rnacentral:lncRNA from 1 species